CUACGGGGGGCUGCAGUGAGGAAUAUUGCGCAAUGGGGGGAACCCUGAUGCAGCAACGCCGCGUGGAGGAUGACGCAUUUCGGUGUGUAAACUCCUUUUAUAUGUCAAGAAAAUGACGGUAGCAUAUGAAUAAGCACCGGCUAACUCCGUGCCAGCAGCCGCGGUAAUACGGAGGGUGCAAGCGUUACUCGGAAUCACUGGGCGUAAAGGACGCGUAGGCGGGUUGGAAAGUCAGGUGUGAAAUCCUACAGCUUAACUGUAGAACUGCACUUGAAACUUCUAAUCUAGAGUAUGGGAGGGGGAGAUGGAAUUAGUGGUGUAGGGGUAAAAUCCGUAGAUAUCACUAGGAAUACCUAAGGCGAAGGCGAUCUCCUGGAACAUUACUGACGCUAAGGCGUGAAAGCGUGGGGAGCAAACAGGAUUAGAUACCCCUGUAGUC
rnacentral:rRNA from 1 species